rnacentral:rRNA from 1 species
AUUAGAGUUUGAUCCUGGCUCAGAACGAACGCUGGCGGCACGCUUCAUACAUGCAAGUCGAACGGUUAAAGCUCCUUCGGGAGUGUAUAAAGUGGCGAACGGGUGAGUAACAGGUGGAUAAUCUGCCUUCUGGCGGGGGAUAACGGUUGGAAACGACCGCUAAUACCGCAUGUCGUUGUGAUUUCUCCGGAUUUCACAAAAAAAGGCGCUUCGGCGUCACCAGAAGAUGGGUCCGCCCCCCAUUAGCUAGUUGGUGCGAUAAUAGCGCACCAAGGCUGUGAUGGGUAGCCGAGCUGAGAGGUUGAUCGGCCACACUGGAACUGAGACACGGUCCAGACACCUACGGGUGGCAGCAGUAGGGAAUAUUGCGCAAUGAACGAAAGUUUGACGCAGCGAUGCCGCGUGAGUGAAGAAGGUUUUCGGAUUGUAAAACUCUUUUGUCAGGGAAGAAAUGUAGAGGGAGGUAAUGCCCUUUGCUUGACGGUACCUGGCGAAUAAGGGACGGCUAACUCCGUGCCAGCAGCCGCGGUAAUACGGAGGUCCCAAGCGUUGUUCGGAUUUACUGGGCGUAAAGGGAGCGCAGGCGGAUUGAUAAGUCUAAAGUGGAAGCCCGAGGCUCAACCUCGGAAAGCCUUUGGAUACUGUCAGUCUUGAGUAUGUGAAGGGAAUGCGGAAUUCAGGGUGUAGCGGUGAAAUGCUUAGAUAUCCUGAGGAACACCAAUGGCGAAAGCAGCAUUCUGGCACACUACUGACGCUGAGGCUCGAAAGCGUGGGGAGCGAACGGGAUUAGAUACCCCGGUAGUCCACGCCGUAAACGUUGUAUACUAGGUGUAGGAGGUAUCGACCCCUUCUGUGCCGUAGCUAACGCAUUAAGUAUACCGCCUGGGGAGUACGCACGCAAGUGUGAAACUCAAAGGAAUUGACGGGGGCCCGCACAAUCGGUGGAGCAUGUGGUUUAAUUCGAGGCAACGCGAAGAACCUUACCCAGACUUGACAUCCUGCGACCGCCUAUGAAAGUAGGUUUUCCCUUCGGGGACCUGGAGACAGGUGUUGCAUGGCUGUCGUCAGCUCGUGUCGUGAGAUGUUGGGGUUAAGUCCCGCAACGAGCGCAACCCCUGUCCUUAGUUACCAGCACGUUAUGGUGGGCACUCUAAGGAUACUGCCGGUGAUAAGCCGGAGGAAGGUGGGGACGACGUCAAGUCAUCAUGGCCCUUACGCCUGGGGCCACACACGUGCUACAAUGGCCGGUACAAUGAGCUGCUAAGCCGCGAGGUGGAGCGAAUCUCAAAAAGCCGGUCUCAGUUCGGAUAGGAGUCUGCAAUUCGACUCCUUGAAGUCGGAAUCGCUAGUAAUCGCGUAUCAGCUACGACGCGGUGAAUACGUUCCCGGGCCUUGUACACACCGCCCGUCACAUGACCCGAGUCGGGUGCACCCGAAGUCACUGACCGAACCCGCAAGGGACGGAAGUGCCGAAGGUGUGCUUGGUAAGGGGGAUGAAGUCGUAACAAGGUAACCAAU